GCCCCGCCGGCCCCGCCCCUGGAGCCGCGCCAUUGGGCAAGGGCCGCCGACAGCGUCGGGCGCUUUGGGAGCGGAUUGGUCGCCGCGUGCGCCCGUCUCCCGAGCUUGGCCCUGUCAGGGAGAGAAAGAUGUGGCGCACUUGGAGCUGGGCCCAACCGGGCUGAGGCGAGGGGGGAGCUGGGCGGGAGCCUCAGACGCCAGGCAAGGCAAGGAAGGAAGAAAAGUUUUGUUUCCAAUGUUGUAGUUGUGGUCAGGGGCCCCUUCCACACAGCUGAGCAAAAUCCCACAUUAUCUGCUUUGAAAUGGAAUAUAUAGCAGUGUGGACUCAGCCCAGUUCAAAGCAGAUAUUGUGGGAUUUUUUCUGCUUUGAUAUUCUGGGUUAUAUGGCUGCGUGGAAGGGCCCUUGGGCCCUGCCUUGCAAUAAAAAUGUGCCACACACAGGCCACUUCCACACAGCUGAAUAAAAUCCCACAUUUUCUGCUUUCAACUGGAAUAUAGCAGUGUGGAUGCAGGGCUCUUCCACAGAGCCGUAUAAUCCAGAAUGUCAAGGCAGAAAAUCCCACAAUAUCUGCUUUAAACUGGGAUAUCUGAGUCCUGGGCUAUAGGGCCUGUCUGGAAGGGUCCUUGGAUAAUCCAGUUUAAAGCACAUAAUGUGGAUUAUUUGCUUUGAUAAUCUGGAUUAUAUGGCAGUGUAGAACGGCUCUGCCUUGUACAGUCAAUGUAGGGCCCUUCCACACAGCCAUAUAACUCAGAAUAUCAAGGCAAAAAUCCUACAAUAUUUGCUUUGAACUGGGUUAUCUAAGUCCACACUGCCAUAUAUCCCAGUUCAAAGCAGAAAAUGUGGGAUUUUAUGCAUCUGUGUGGAAGGGGUCCCAGAAUAUGAAGGUAGAUAGUAUCUGCUUUGAACUGAGUUAUCUGGGUCGACAUUGCCAUAUAAUCCAGUUCAGUAUGGAUUUUAUACAGCUGUAUGGAAGGGGCCAUAGGCUCAUGUCAUGUAGCUCAGUGCCGUCAAACUGCAUUAAAUGAGGCUGCAUUGACCAUACAAGACAUUUUCAACUGCAUUAAAAGGCAGUGUAGAUGCGGCCAUAGAAACGUCAAAGCAAGCAGUGAGGAAAAAAGCUGUGUGAUGGAGCAAAUCUUGAGGUCCUUUGGGGGUUUUGUGCCACUUUCCUAUAAAGCCAGUUUACAUUUCAAAAAAGAUUUUAUGGCCUUCAGUUGUGCCUACAUAUUCUACUACAGUAAAAUGCCAUAGUUCGAUUCAAAACUACCUUCUAUACUGCCAUAUAAUGCAAAUCAUCAAAGCAGACAAUUCACAUUAUCUGCUUUAAACUGGAUUAUAAGAGUCUAUGCUGCCAUGUAAUCCAGUUCAAAGCAGAUAAUCUGGAUUAUAUGGCAGUGUAGAAGGAAUCAUAUAACAGGAGAAAAAAACUGUAUUUAUAUAUUAAAAACCUGUAUGUAGUAUGUAUACUAUAGGCUCUUUCACAUAGCAAUAUAACCUAGAAUAUCAAGGCAGAUAAUCCACAUUACUUGCUUUGAGCUGGAUUAUCUGAGUCCACACUGCCAUAUAAUCCAGUUCAAUGUGGUUUUAUACAGCUUUCUGGGGUUUACGUGUUUGGUUUUGGGAAAAUAUUUUUGAGCCAUGUUUGAUUGAAUCCAUGGAAGCAGAAUCCAUAGAGAUGGAGGACCAACUAUUUAUAUCCCCGAUGAAAUCAUUAAAAUGUGUAUACAGUAUAGACAUACACACAACACUGGACUUUCAGGAAGGGCGGGAUUAGAAUUGGAGUUAUUACAGGGUUUGUUUGUUUGUUUGUUUGCCAGCCUUUCCUUGUUGCUGUUGUUGUCGUCUGCAUUCAAGUUGUUUUCUAAAAAUAAUAAUAAUACUGUGUUAUAUGAUUUUUGUUCCUGUGUUAUCAAUGUCAUUUCCUAAUUGGUUCUAUCAUAAAAAUAUGGAAUUGUUUUAUUAAAACUACAAAAACUUUGUUUUUGCAGGACAUCUUGCAGCGCAUUUUGCUAUAGUUUUUCAAUGAAUAGCUCAUAGAGUCUCAAUCAAUUCAACAAAGUUUGUGGCAGCCACAAAAACGAAGUUUCUGGAAUAUAAUAACAACUUUCAAAGGCUGGUCCUAAUGAGGCAACUGCCUCAGGUGACAGAUGGCAGUAUACCAACCAUCCCUCUACUGUCCUUUGGCCACAGAUGUGGUGGAGGAUGCAUGCAGUCCCAUUAGCAGCAUUCAUGCCUGGCUUCGAGACGCCUGAGGUUUCUCUCGAACAGAAUGUGAAUGUUCAAGGCCAAAUUCUUGGGAGAGGCCCUCAGCAGACUUUCUCUGAGAAUCGGUUUUCUGAGAAUGAUUUGUCAGGUGUAUAAUUUAAUGAGCUUGAAAAUAGAAGACAAGACUUUGAUAAACGAAGUGAGAGUUCACAGGUCCAUCAAAGGAAAAGCUUUACAAGAGACAAGAGAAUGCUUUUUACCUCAGCGUGGUCAACAUUGGUUUUCCAUGACAGUCUUUCUUUCAAGUGGAUUUCUAGUUUCAUGGUUCCUGUCUUGCGAAGUUCCUAUUUUGAGUUUUGGGAUUUUAUGCUGCCUUGUUCUUAUGGAUUUUGCAACCUUGUCCCUUGUAAUUCAUGGACUAAUUGUUGCCUUUUGAAGAUUCCUUUGUGAACUAUACUAUUUGCAUCAUUUGUAUUGCUUUGCUCUCAUAUAUUCUUCAGUAAACUGCUUGCUAAUUAUA